CUUUUUGAAAGAAAUGUAACAUAAGAAAGGUAAAGGGCAAAUAUUAACCAUGUAAGCUGUUUAUAUUGCUUACAAUUUAGGUGAAGCAAGCAUGUGUAAAGCAUUUUAAUGUAAAAUUGCUUAAUUUUGCUGAAUUAAAUACAAGUAACAAAGUAAACGAGUAACAAAAAUAUGAACACCACACAAGGGUUAAAAAUCCUGAUGUAAUAAAACAUAACUAAAAUAACUUGACCGAGUCUAGUCAAGUACUGACUCGCUAAGUACACACAUUGCGCAAUAUUGCAACCAGCAAAAUGUAAAAUCAAACCAUAAAUUGUACAAUAAAUUGCUAUUGUAAUUAUCAAGACAGGCCUACUUUCCUUUAAUGGCAAAAAGUUGGAGAUACGUUGUUUUUUGCGUGAUAUACCAAACAUACUACAGUAUAUGGCACCUUUUUCUUUCUCUGAUGUGCUGUAUUGUGUAUGGCAGUAUCUUUCCUGUGCCCGUUUUUGCUUCCUGGCCUGAACUGGCUAAUUUUUUGACACCUAAGUUGUACUUGAAGAUUGAGAACUUGAGAACAUUACAGCAACUUUUGAGGUAUUAAACCUGAAACUAUCGUCCAUCACUUUCAUUAGAACAUUGAUCUGCUGCUUUAUGGUCGUGUGUUUUACCAAAGUCCUAAUAUGCGUGUCUCUGUUCAUAGUAUAGUAGUACAGUAGUUAUCUCCAGUCAUGUGAGGGCAGAUUCCCAUCUCUAUAAACAGGUAGAGGCCAAAAUACUGGAAACUAAAGGUCAAAUUAGCAUUUUACAAACACAUUUUGAUAUUAUAAUAAUAUUAAUAUGAUUUUUUUCAGCUCGUUGCGGCUGCUGCGCUUGUGCAGAUCUCCACAUUGGGUGAAACUUUCCUCGCUAGAACAGUGACCGUCUAUAUAGUUUUUAUACGCAAGUCUGUUCACUUGAUGAUCAUCUUGGAUAUAUAAGGUUGGAUAUAUAAAGUUAUAUAAGGGAAGCCUUCCAUCUGUUUGAAUGGGCAGAAACCAAAAUACUCUAAACCGAAGGUCAGAUUAUCAUUUCAAAAACACAUUUUAAGUCAUUGAUAAAAUCUGACAAAAAUCUCAUAAUUAGUUGGUAGCAUUUGGCUCAACUAGGCCUGUCACGAUAAACAUUUUUCCCGUACAAUAUUUUUUCCCAAAAAGUAUUACAAUUAAAUUGUUGCCAUUUUUAGACCACUAAUUUGGCACUAAAAAAAUAAUAACAAAUUAACCUUUUUAAAGACAAAUCUUUCAUUCCUGUUUACGCACCUAAUUUUGGAACCUGAAAAUUACAGCUUGAACCAAAGCAGGUUAUAGUAGGUUCUCCAGUGUGUACUAUGUGUACAUAAAUAUAUAUUGUAAAGUGUGGAGACAGGGGAACUGUGUGUGUGACCCACACCAUGACGUGCAGCCCCAGUCUGUCCCAGCUGGCAUGUGUUGAACCGGCGUAAGACUUAGCCUCAGCAAAGGCAACAUGAACUGAUACAACAUGAUAAUGUAGUUAUUGUGACAGGCCUAGGCUUAAAAAUGCACAAAAAACAUGAUUUUUAGCUUUUAUCGGAUACUGCGCUUGUGCAGAUCUCCACAUUGAGUGGAACUUUCCUCACUAGCACACUGACCGGCUACAUUGACCUCUUUAUAUGCAAGUCUGUUCACUUAAUUCAACAACUUAUUUUUAAUCAUUGAUAAAACACGACAAAAAUCUCAUAGAUAGUUUGUAGCGUUUGGCUCAACAAAGCACCAAAAAGCAUGAUUUUUUUAGCUCGUUAUGGCUACUGCGCUUGGGCAGAUCUCCUUAUUCCCCGGCUCUUUUUGAUGUUGGGCCGGCAGGACUUUAUCUGUUGAGAGAUCUUCCCUUCACAUCUCCACCAGUAUCUGGUCUCCUCAUUAUAACAUCUCUGGUAUUACUCAAGGAGAAAAAUCUACCAUGCUCUUAAAAUCAAAAAACUGUUGAUUGAUUUUCACACUAAAGAGAUUUGGUGAAGCUGUGAGUUCCUGUGUGAGAUGCUCAGAGGUUCGAGCGCCGCUCCACAGUGCCGUGGUCUGUGCACACGCUGAUUUAAAGGGUGUGUGACAGUAGUAACAAUGACGUUAGCAGUUAUUUGACCCUAAUAAUGAGCUCUCUGCCCCGCCCUCAAGCGAAAGAUAUGAGGGAACAUAUUCCAUGUAAAGUAUUUACACUGUAGUUCACGGAUCAGCGGGCAACCCCGACUACACAAGUUUCAUAACACAGUAUUAGCAGCUCGCUAUGAGUGAAAAAAAGACAAAAACACAAAAAACAUGAAUUCAAGCGUGAGCUGGAUGAUUUUCUCGUGAAAAUACUUUUAGUAGGGAUGCACCAAAUAUUCUGCAACCGAAAUUAUUUAGACAAAAAGGGCAAAAUGUUUUGAUUUUCUAGGAAAUACUGUAAGAGACAAAGUCUGAAUUAUUUACAAUAAACAAUAGAUCUGUCCCAAUGACAUUUUUUUUAUAUGAGUGAUAUAUUGCAACAAACAAGAGUUCUGUCAAUUUAUUACCCUUUAUAAUGCCACACGUAUAAUAAUUAGUAUAAUUCCUUUUAAAACAGACAUUUUAAAGACCAAUAUACACUUUUAAAUAAGUGUUUUUAGAGUAGGGAAUUGGAAAUGAAUAAACAUUAAUAAAAUAAAGCCACUGUUUUUAUUAGAUAUUAAUAGAUCAAAUUGAGGUCAACAAAAUGAUAAUAUGUGAUAAGUAAUUUCCAUAUACUGUAAAUUAUCGUCACAGACCUUUCAAACAAUGGUGGUUUUGAUGACAGAAAAGUCACAUUUUUGUAAAUGCAGCCAAUGUGAGCCAAAAAUAGCUUUACGGACAGUCUCCUGUUGAAAAAAAAAUGUUAAAAGUGUUAAAAUCCAGGAAAACCAGCAAAAAAUGAAUAAAAAUGUGUUCGCUGUUAAGUAUUCUGUAUUUGGCCUUUGAGCUAAAUGUUUUAUUGUAUUUUUUUUUAUUUUUUAUUUUUUUGGUUUGAAUCAAAAACAUCUACAUUUUUUAGGAGUUUUAAGCAGUAAAGUAAUCGACCAAUCAACUUUUGCCCUUCUUUCUUUUUUUUUGUAAAUGCAGCAAACAUGUCAGCUGAGUGGAAGCAUUGGAAAGUGUUGGUCAAUGAGCCUGAAAUACAGUAUAUAAUAUAUAAUAAAAAUAGUACAGACAUUGUCCUGCUGAAAAUGUGGCGAAAUCAUGUUCAGUAUUUGGGAUUCUGCCUUCAGCUAAAUGUUUCAUUUUGUUUGUUUUUUGGUUUCAGUCAAAAAUGUUCAUUUUGAUACAUCCCUAGGUAGUUUUUAAGCAGUUUUAAGGAGUUUUACUCAGUUUUAAGGAGCACGGCAGUCAACCCAUCAGCUUUUUCCCUUCCUUUAUUCAUUUUCUAGUGUGAACUGAGGGACCUGUAGUCCACGUGCAAUCACGGAACGAGUCGACAGCGUGACGCGACUAACGGGCGACUUGCCUUGCUUUGUUUAAUGGUUGUUUUAUUUGGUUCUAAGCGAUAUACAGUCCUGAAUAUUGUUCACUGUUUCCAUGUUUUUUAAUCAAUAAAGCCGUAGGUUUGUAAACAACA